GGUUGCGAUCAUACCAACACUAAUGCACCGGAUCCCAUCAGAACUCCACAGUUAAGCAUGCUUGGGCGAGAGUAGUACUAGGAUGGGUGACCCCCUGGGAAGUCCUCGUGUUGCAACCC
rnacentral:rRNA from 1 species